rnacentral:rRNA from 1 species
AUUGAACGCUGGCGGCAGGCCUAACACAUGCAAGUCGAACGGUAGCACAGAGAGCUUGCUCUCGGGUGACGAGUGGCGGACGGGUGAGUAAUGUCUGGGAAACUGCCCGAUGGAGGGGGAUAACUACUGGAAACGGUAGCUAAUACCGCAUAAUGUCGCAAGACCAAAGAGGGGGACCUUCGGGCCUCUUGCCAUCGGAUGUGCCCAGAUGGGAUUAGCUUGUUGGUGAGGUAAUGGCUCACCAAGGCGACGAUCCCUAGCUGGUCUGAGAGGAUGACCAGCCACACUGGAACUGAGACACGGUCCAGACUCCUACGGGAGGCAGCAGGGGGGAAUAUUGCACAAUGGGCGCAAGCCUGAUGCAGCCAUGCCGCGUGUGUGAAGAAGGCCUGCGGGUUGUAAAGCACUUUCAGCGGGGAGGAAGGCAAUGCGGUUAAUAACCGUGUUGAUGGACGUUACCCGCAGAAGAAGCACCGGCUAACUCCGU